CAGCCGCCGCGGUAAUACGUACGUCACAAGCGUUAUCCGGAUUUAUUGGGCGUAAAGCGCGUCUAGGUGGUUAUGUAAGUCUGAUGUGAAAAUGCAGGGCUCAACUCUGUAUUGCGUUGGAAACUGUGUAACUAGAGUACUGGAGAGGUAAGCGGAACUACAAGUGUAGAGGUGAAAUUCGUAGAUAUUUGUAGGAAUGCCGAUGGGGAAGCCAGCUUACUGGACAGAUACUGACGCUGAAGCGCGAAAGCGUGGGUAGCAAACAGGAUUAGAUACCCGAGUAGUCCCUGUCUCUUAUACA
rnacentral:rRNA from 1 species